rnacentral:rRNA from 1 species
GUCUACGGCCAUGCUACUCUGAACAAGCCCAGUCCCAUCUGAUUUCGGAAGCUAAGCAGGGUCGGGCCUGGUUAGUACUUGGAUGGGAGACCACCUAGGAAGACCAGGUGCUGUAGGUG